UACGUAGGCAGCAAGCGUUGUUCGGAAUUACUGGGCGUAAAGCGCGUGUAGGCGGGCCGCCACGUCGGCUGCUGAAAUCCCCCGGCUCAACCGGGGAACGGGCACCGAUACGAGCGGCCUCGAGGGGGGUAGGGGGGUCUGGAACUUCCGGUGGAGCGGUGAAAUGCGUUGAGAUCGGAAGGAACGCCCGUGGCGAAAGCGAGGCCCUGGACCCUUACUGACGCUGAGACGCGAAAGCCAGGGGAGCGAACGGG
rnacentral:rRNA from 1 species